CUUUCAGGUUAUGCUGAUAUAGGACUUGUUUUACUGUGGAUAUAGAUACUUUUGUACCUGUUUCCUCCAGCAUCUUCACAAGGUCCUUUUCUGUCGUUCUGGGAUUGAUUUACACUUUUCGCACCGAUUUGCACUUUUCGCACCGGAGACAGAAUGCGUCUCCUUCCUGAGCGGUAUGACGGCUGCGUGGUCUCAUGGUGUUUAUACUUGUGUACUAUUGUUUGUACAGAUGAAAGUGGUACCUUCAGGCGUUUGGAAAUUGCUCCGAAGGAUGAACCAGACUUGUGGAGGUCCCAUGAUGUCAAGCAAAGCGGCAGUGAGUUUGAAGGUAGGCCUUGAAAUACAUCCACAAGUACACCUCCAAUUGACUCAAAUGAUGUCAAUUAGUCUAUCAGAAGCUUCCAAAGCCAUGACAUAAUUUUCUGGAAUUUUCCAAGCUGUUUAAAGGCACAGUCAACUUCGUGUAUGUAAACUUCUGACCCACUGGAAUUGUGAUACAGUGAAUUAUAAGUGAAAUAAUCUGUCUGUAAACAAUUGUACAAAGUAGAUGUCCUAAGCGACUUGCCAAAACUAUAGUUUGUUAACAAGAAAUUUGUGGAGUGGUUGAUAAACGAGUUUUAAUGACUCCAACCUGGCUUUCGUGCCACGUAUGUGGUGCAGAUGAUUACGGGUCUCGUCCCGUGUAUUUAUUUGAGUUAUUCCUCACUCUUUUGUUUGGGUUUCUACCCUGUGUUUUGUAUACGUGUUUGUUUGGUCUUCGUCCCAGUGCCUUUACACGGCACGCUGUCAUUUGGGAAAAAAAAAAAAAAACUACUACGCAUUCCUGCGCCUGUCUCCUGAUCCCUUAUACCAGCGUGACACAUGGCAAGUUCUCAUUGGUCCAAAUUGUUUAUACAUUGAAUCUGAAAUAGGAUACUUUUUAUUUGGCCACUGUCCAUUAAUCACGGUACUCCAUUCUGCUUGUUUAUGUUUUAUCUGUCGGCCCCGUCGCCUAGUCAACGCCAUUUUACCUGCUGUUGUUGUGCUAGCUGAUUAGCUGUUGUCUCACCUACUGUUUUAGCUAGCUUUCCCAAUUCAACACCUGUGAUUACUGUAUGCCUCGCUGUAUGUCUCUCUCAAAUGUCAAUAUGCCUUGUAUACUGUUGCUCAGGUUAGUUAUCAUUGUUCUAGUUCACAAUGGAGCCCCUAGUUCUACUCCUCAUACCCCUGAUAACUCCUUUGUCCCAGCUCCCACACAUGCGGUGACCUCACCCAUUACAACCAGCAUGUCCAGAGAUACAACCUCUCUCAUCAUCACCCAGUGCCUGGGCUUACCUCCGCUGUACCCGCACCCCACCAUACCCCUGUCUGCGCAUUAUGCCCUG
ensembl:lncRNA